rnacentral:rRNA from 1 species
AUUGAACGCUGGCGGCAUGCCUAACACAUGCAAGUCGAGCGAUCGUCGGACGGGUGUGUAAUGUCUGUGAACCUGCCUGAUGGCGGGGGAUAACUACUGUAAACGGUAGCUAAUACCGCAUACCAUCGGAUGUGCCCCGAUGGGAUUAGCUAGUAGGUGGGGUAAAGUCGCACCUAGGCGACGAUCCCUAGCUGGUCUGAGAGGAUGACCAGCAAAACUGGAACUGAGACACGGUCAAGACUCCUACGGGAGGAAGCAGUGGGGAAUAUUGCACAAUGGGGGCAAGCCUGAUGCAGCAAUGCCGGGUGGAGGAAGAAGGCCUUCGGGUUGUAAAGUAUGUUCAGCGGGGAGGCGUUACCCGAAGAAGAAGCAACGGCUAACUCCGUGCCAGCAGCCGCGGUAAUUC